AAUCUUCUUCUGUGUUCGAGACCUCGUUAUACUCUUAUCCUUUCUAAUCCAUCGGGAGCUUGACGCCAGGCAAUGACGGUCAAGCCGUAAACCGGAAGACUUGAGUUGUCUGGAAAGCACCCACCUUGAUCAACUGAGGUAAAUAGAGUAUUCGCAUAUUCGGCAUAAGCAGAAGGUUC
rnacentral:other from 1 species